GAUGAACGCUGGCGGCGUGCCUAAUACAUGCAAGUCGAGCGAACAGACGAGGAGCUUGCUCCUCUGACGUUAGCGGCGGACGGGUGAGUAACACGUGGAUAACCUACCUAUAAGACUGGGAUAACGUCGGGAAACCGGAGCUAAUACCGGAUAAUAUAUUGAACCGCAUGGUUCAAUAGUGAAAGACGGUUUUGCUGUCACUUAUAGAUGGAUCCGCGCCGCAUUAGCUAGUUGGUAAGGUAACGGCUUACCAAGGCAACGAUGCGUAGCCGACCUGAGAGGAUGAUCGGCCACACUGGAACUGAGACACGGUCCAGACUCCUACGGGAGGCAGCAGUAGGGAAUCUUCCGCAAUGGGCGAAAGCCUGACCGAGCAACGCCGCGUGAGUGAUGAAGGUCUUCGGAUCGUAAAACUCUGUUAUUAGGGAAGAACAAAUGUGUAAGUAACUAUGCACGUCUUGACGGUACCUAAUCAGAAAGCCACGGCUAACUACGUG
rnacentral:rRNA from 1 species